rnacentral:rRNA from 1 species
AUUGAACGCUGGCGGCAGGCCUAACACAUGCAAGUCGAGCGGAUGAGAGGAGCUUGCUUCUCGAUUCAGCGGCGGACGGGUGAGCAAUGCCUAGGAAUCUGCCUGGUAGUGGGGGACAACGUUUCGAAAGGAACGCUAAUACCGCAUACGCCCUACGGGAGAAAGCAGGGGACCUUCGGGCCUUGCGCUAUCAGAUGAGCCUAGGUCGGAUUAGCUAGUUGGUGAGGUAAUGGCUCACCAAGGCGACGAUCCGUAACUGGUCUGAGAGGAUGAUCAGUCACACUGGAACUGAGACACGGUCCAGACUCCUACGGGAGGCAGCAGUGGGGAAUAUUGGACAAUGGGCGAAAGCCUGAUCCAGCCAUGCCGCGUGUGUGAAGAAGGUCUUCGGAUUGUAAAGCACUUUAAGUUGGGAGGAAGGGCAGUAAGUUAAUACCUUGCUGUUUUGACGUUACCGACAGAAUAAGCACCGGCUAACUUCGUGCCAGCAGCCGCCGUAACAC